rnacentral:snRNA from 1 species
CUGCUCACUUCGGCAGCACAUAUACUAAAAUUAGAAUGAUACAGAGAAGAUUAGCAUAACCCCUGCACAAGGUGACAUGCAAAUUCAUGAAGCAUUCCAUAUUUAA